GCCUGCGCGGGCGCGGUGCGCCUCUCUGCGCCUGCGCGGGCGCGGUGCGCCUCUCUGCGCCUGCGCGGGCGCGGUGCGCCUCUCUGCGCCUGCGCGGGCGCGGUGCGCCUCUCUGCGCCUGCGCGGGCGCGGUGCGCCUCUCUGCGCCUGCGCGGGCGCGGUGCCUUUGCGAGGACGGAGCUGCGUUCGCCGCAGCACAGACCCAGACGGCAUCGUGAGCUCGGAGCUGCAUUCUCCUCUGCACAGACUCCGGGGUACUGUGAAGGCGGAGCAGCGUUCUUCUCAGCACAGACCUGGGCGUGCGGGCCAGGGGCACCGCGAGGGCGGAGCUGCGUUCUGCUCAGCACAGACCUGGGGGACACUGCAAAGGCGGAGCUCCAUUCUCCUCAGCACAGACGUUGGGGGCCCUAACUCGCUUUGGGACAACUCGGGGCAGCAUCGACGUAUUAUUGGGAGUCAUAUCAUCCUGUGGCCCUGAGGAGAGAAGGCAUUUCUCUUUCUGUCUCCUGUCUCUGAAGAGGAGGAGGAAGUAAAAGUUGAAAACCAAGAAGAUUGAAGUCAGUGGCAAGACCAGCCGCUGCCACUGAUGAGCCGGCCUGAGGUGAAAAGAUGAACCCCCCCUCCCCCACUCUAAGCACAUGUGCUCUGAAUCCAUCGGGACCCUUUCAGGUGGAAACCCUUAGAGUUGUAAGCCCUGAGAAAAGGCCUAGUAAGUCUGUCUUCCUUCGGGGCGCUCGGCUCUUAAGACGCGAGUCUGCCGACGCCUCCGGCCGAUUAAAAGCAACCUCUUCCUUCUUGAA